CCUACGGGUGGCAGCAGUGAGGAAUAUUGGUCAAUGGCCGGAAGGCUGAACCGGCCAUUCCGCGUGAAGGUCAGUGCCCUAUGGGCGUUAAACUUCUUUUGUGCGGGAGCAAUAAUGGUCACGUGUGGCCAGACGAGAGUUCCGUACGAAUAAGCAUCGGCUAACUCCGUGCCAGCAGCCGCGGUAAUACGGGGGAUGCAAGCGUUAUCCGGAUUUAUUGGGGUUAAAGGGUGCGUAGGCUGGGAGGUAAGUCAGCGGUGAAAUGCCCCCGCGCAACGGGGUGAAGUGCCAUUGAUACUGCCUUGCUUGAAUGCGGAUGCCGUGGGAGGAAUGUGUGGUGUAGCGGUGAAAUGCAUAGAUAUCACACAGAACACCGAUUGCGAAGGCAUCUCACGAAGCCGCGAUUGACGCUGAUGCACGAAAGCGUGGGUAUCAAACAGGAUUAGAUACCCCUGUAGUC
rnacentral:rRNA from 1 species